UUGAUACUGUUAAGGAAGGACUGAAAAGAAAAACAUUUUCACAAUGAUCAUCAUAGUGGAAAAUGUGCUACGAGCAGCAGCGACUGAAAACUGGACCCUGUUUCGCUCGCCUGUACAUCUCUGACAGUCAGCCCAGAGCCAAUUUCCAGCAGAACAACAGAAAGAAAUGCUAUAUCCAGGACCGCGGUGCUGCUGGUUGCCUCAGCAACAGCUAGAACCAGACGCAGGGAAACUUGGGUAGGUCCACAGCCGAGUCAGGCUAUGUUAAUGGUAAACUAUUAGUCACUGACAGCAGAGGACGGCACGCUCGCAGUUGUCUCCAUCAGUCACACACCAACACUGGCGGAAGACGCGCCGACGACCACUCGCAGCGAAACACACAGAAACCCGACGCUGGCCGGAGAAAUCUGCUGUUUUUGAGGAAAACGCGGCACAUCCUGACAUGUAUGCAACACAAACAAUCAGCCUGCACAUCAGCGCAGGCAGCAGGCGUCACUUGUGCCAGUGCAGCAUCGCUGGAGGACAUUUGUUCAAAGCGGGGAGAAAGGAAACGCCACAUUCUGGCGUGUUCACACAGAACGACUGCACUGCUCCGACACGGCUGCGCUCCGCCGCACACGCGCCCGUUCUAACACAGCUGUAUGCAGGCAUGCUUUGCAACAUCUGUCAAUUCAUCCCAGUGUGACGUCCGAACGCAUGCAUCCCUCCUUCACCUCCUCAGCCUCUCUAAGAAGACGGAGUAAAUGCAGGGAUGGGGGGGAUGAAAUGUCAUGGCAGGUACCUGUAAAUGAACCAGAUGCUCCUAUUCAAAGGGCCCAGCGACGGCCAGGAAGAAGAGAGGGAGAGGGAGAGGGAGAGAUCCUCCUCGCCGCAUGCCCCCAUCGCCAUUUCCUCCCCUCCCUCUCCUCCUCCUUCUCCUGCUCCUUCUCCUUUCCGUCUUCCAGCAAGACAGCAGCGAGUAAGAGCCGCGAGAAAGGAGAAGGAGGAGGAGGAGAGGAGGAGGAGGAAGAGGAGAGAGAGACGGAGGAAGGGAAAGGGAGAGGGCCAAGCUCUCCCAGCCCCUUCAUACUUAAGACAGAGAGGAGGAGGAGGAGGAGGAGGACUGGGAGAGAGUGAGGGAUUGAGAUGGUUAGCAGUGACUGCGACACAGUGAAGGAGAGAGAGGGAAGGAGGCGAGUUUGAAGGAGUGAGAGAGAGAGGUGAUUGGAUUGGUUUGCAGGGGGCUUCACUCUGAUAAAAAAUCAUAAUUUUUGGUGUUUUUAACAUGUGAUAGUGGCAUUUUUCAUGAUGGAAAACAUGUUUGAAGUAAAUUAAGCUUAAAAUAGCA